rnacentral:rRNA from 1 species
UGCGGAAGGAUCAUUACCAAUUUUAUCGGGGGGACUUCGGUCCCUGUCUGAACCCUUGUCUUUUGCGUACUAUUUGUUUCCUUGGUGGGCUUUGCCUGCCAAUAGGACAACUAUUAAACCUUUUGUAAUUGCAAUCAGCGUCAGAAAAAACAUAAUAAUUACAACUUUCAACAACGGAUCUCUUGGUUCUGGCAUCGAUGAAGAACGCAGCGAAAUGCGAAAAGUAGUGUGAAUUGCAGAAUUCAGUGAAUCAUCGAAUCUUUGAACGCACAUUGCGCCCCUUGGUAUUCCAUGGGGCAUGCCUGUUCGAGCGUCAUUUGUACCUUCAAGCUCUGCUUGGUGUUGGGUGUUUGUCCCGCUUUUUGCGUGGACUCGCCUCAAAGCAAUUGGCAGCCGGCGUACUAGCCUGGGAGCGCAGCACAUUUUGCGCAUCUCGACUGGAAUGCUUGCGUCCAUUAAGCCUACAC